AUUGCACGCUGGCGGCAGGCCUAACACAUGCAAGUCGAACGAGUGGCGGACGGGUGAGUAAUGUCUGGGAAACUGCCCGAUGGAGGGGGAUAACUACUGGAAACGGUAGCUAAUACCGCAUACCAUCGGAUGUGCCCAGAUGGGAUUAGCUAGUAGGUGGGGUAACGGCUCACCUAGGCGACGAUCCCUAGCUGGUCUGAGAGGCGGACCAUCGACACUGGAACUGAGACACGGUCCAGACUCCUAGGGGAGGCAGCAGUGGGGAAUAUUGCACAAUGGGCGCAAGCCUGAGGCAGCCAUGCCGCGUGUAUGAAGAAGGCCUUCGGGUUGUAAAGUACGUGCAGCGAGGAGGCGUUACUCGCAGAAGAAGCACCGGCUAACUCCGUGCCAGCAGCCGCGGUAAUUC
rnacentral:rRNA from 1 species